rnacentral:misc_RNA from 1 species
AUCACUCACAUUAUUUAUUUAUAUUUUUGUUAACUCACAAGAAAGUACCCACCAAUAAACUUUGCUACAAAUCACAGCGACAUUAAGCUUAUAGCCCUAUAUGUUGUUGUUGUUUUUCAUUUUGUCGCCUUUCGGGACAGGCAAAGAUCUAAGACCAUACAGCCUAUUCAGACGUAUUUCUUUUCAAAUUCUCGGUAUAACUUUUUUUUUCUUUUUCUUUAAUUUUUUUAUUUUAUUUUAUUUAAGAAGGCAAAGCCUAUUCAAUCGUAUUUCUUUAAAAUCUAAAUACUUAUAAAUAUUUUUAUUUUUUCCUAUUAGGUAAUUUCUGAGGAUAUGACUGAAUGUAUCUUUUUCUUCUUUUUUUAUAUUUAAUAAUUUUUUUUAAAAAUAUUAUGUCGAAUCCGGCGGUCUAGUUCAGGACUAAUUCUAUUAAAGUCUUCAGUCUUUAAUAUUUUUAUAUUUAUUGUCGUCAAAUCUCUUGUACAGUAUUCGUUAUGAAUUUGUACAAAUAUUUAUAAUUCAAAGGAUUCUUCAAUAAAUCCCUUAAAGAGCGCGGUACGUCUUCAAUCUUCUUAUAUAAAUUACUUAAGUCAUCAAUUAGCACAAGGCGCUGAAUGCCAAAAGAUGAACAAGAAAAGAAAAUGUGAUCCAGUGUUUGUGGUUCAUUGAUGUUGCAAAAAUUACAUGACGGCGAGUCUCUUAUUAUAUUCAUUCUAUGUAAAUGAGAAUUAAGUCGGCAAUGUCCAAAUCGUAAGCGACAAAUAACUGUAUAAUAUUUCCGAUUGCUAUAAAUCUUCUCUUUACAAAACCAUGGUUUUUUAUUAAUAUUAUUAUUUAAAUUUUUAUACUCCAAUCCUUUGUGCUUAUGUUCAAGGGAAUUCCUCAUUUCUUGCCAGUUACUCUCCAUCUUAUUGAUUAGUUUUUUGUGUAUAUCUGUGUAAGGGAGGGCAGCAGCGUUGGUUCUUUGCAGGGACUGUGUUUGACAAUGACAAUUACUUCUGUUGUGGAUUUGGUUGGAUGAUGCAUUUGUUAUAGUUUUUGCCAGAAAGUCUGCAUUUUCGUUUCCUUUCACCCCAGAGUGUGUCGGAACCCAAAUAAAAACAAUGUCAAAACCAUUCCAAUACAGUUGAUAGGUUUUCUUCUUAAUUUCAUAGAUGAUGUAAUUUGAUUUAGCACUCAUUUUGCAAUUUGAAAUAGAUGAAAGUACACUCAUACUAUCGCUGGCGAUCACCCAUUUUAGAGUCUCAGUUUUUCUAUUUUCUAAAUAGUGUAAUGCUGAUAAGAUAGCAAGUGCCUCCGCUGUAAAAAUACUUGCAUAUGAAUUAAUUUUUUCACCAGACCCGAGCUUUAUUAGACUAUCAUAAAUGGCGAUUGAAGUACUAUUUUCAUUCUUUGCUGCGUCAGUGUAUACAAUUCUAUAGUUUGACCAGUUCGAAAGCUUGUCAUAGAAUAAUUCUUUCGAGGAAAGGGAAGGGUCUAUUUCUACAUUAAUAUUUACAUAAUAGCAUUCAUAAUCUCCUUCAAAGCAUGGCCAAGUAGUCUCUGUUCUGUGAAUAUUUGAAGAUUCGAGUAACUGUAAAUACUCAGAGAAAUUCUGUAGCAAGAACAGUGAAUUUGUGUUUGAAAUUGUUGAAUAAGCUAUUAGAAGGUUUUUAAAAAGUUUAUUGUUUUUCAAUGAAUAUAAUUUCAAUAAGAAUUUAUUUUUUAGGUAGCUGAAGCGUAUACUAAGAGGUGGAAUAUUACAUUCGGUUUGUAGGAUAUUAAUUGGUGUUGUUUUGAAAGCACCUGUAAUAAGGCGUAAGCUGGUAUUUUGGAUAGAUUCUAGUUUUUUAACUAAAGAUUUAUUAGAAGCAAAGCAUACGGCUCCAUAUUCAAAAUGACUUCGGAUAAUAGACUUAUAAAGUAACAAAAGAAUUUUGGGAUCAGCUCCCCAGUAGGUUUUAGCUAAAGAUUUCAAGAUAUUCAAAGCUCUAGUAGCCCUAGCCACAAUGCAAUCAACAUAUUUAGUCCAUGACAAAUUACUGGUGAAUAGGACGCCUAAAAAUUUUACUUCUGAAGCCUGUUCUAUUUGAUUUUCGUUAUAAUGAAUAUGUAUAGAAGGGUUACUUCUUUUACCAAAAACAACAACUUUAGAUUUUUUGGAGUUAAUAUGAAAACAGCAACGAGGGAUUGUUUUUGAAUAAUUGACUUUUGAAUAUCAAGUUGCAACAAGGCAAUACUUUCCUGAGCUGACUUCCCCUUUCGGAAUCCAUAUUGAUUAUGAGGUAGUAUAUUAUUUUUUUCAAUAUAGUAUUCAAUACGCUGUUUUAAGAGCUGUUCAAAAAUUUUACCCAUACAAGAGGUCAGAGUUAUAGGUCGAUAAGAAUCUUCAUAGAACUCUUUUUUAUCAGGCUUCAAAACUGGUAUCAAGCAAUCAACUUUCCAAUCCUCAGGAAUGUAAUUUACUUUCCAUAAAUUAUUGAAAAUAUCGCACAGAAUCUUAAGUGUAUUUUCAUCUAACUUUUUUAACAAAAUAUAAGGAAUGCCAUCCAAACCAAAAGCUGUGUCUUUUCUGCUGUGUAUAGCUGUUUUAAGUUCUUUAAUUGUAAAGGAAUUCAAAAUAAAUUCAUUGGUUGGGUUAUUAUUCUCUACAUAAGAUAAUUUAGUGUGGUUUACAUAAUCUGGUGUGUACUUUUUUAAAAAUUUCAAAAUCCAAUCAUUUUUAUCAAACAUUUUUUUAUAAGAAAAGGUUUUGUUAAAUUUUUUCAUAUAUGACCAUAUUAUAGUUAUAGGAGUGUUGCGAUUAAAGGAAUGACAUAGCUCAUUCCAACUGCUUUCUCUUUCUUGUUUUAAAGUUAAUUUCUUUAAUGCCUGCAGUCUUUUAAAGUUUAUAUAAUUUUCAAUACUAGGGUCAUAUUUGAAUACUAAAUAUGCCUGCUUGCAAUUUUGAACUGCAACACUACAUUUACUGUUCCACCAUGGAAGACACAGCCUUUUGCGUCUAUUAUUUACAGUAAUAUUGUGAGGUUUACGAUGAUAAGGGAUUGAUUUUUGAACAGCUUUAUGUAAAAUUUCGAUAAAAUUAUUAUAUGAAUUCAAUGGAAACUCUUUAUCAACCCUAAAAUCUAACAAUAAAUCCUGUACUACUUUUUGAAAUAUAUCCCAAUUAAUAAGCUUGUAAUUUGGAAGUUUUGGUAAAUUAAUAUUAUUAUUUGUAUCUGCAUCCUUAUUUCUAUUAAUAAGUAUUUUUAUAUUUACAGGUAAAUGAUAACUGCCCAUAGGAUCAUCGUGAACUGACCAAUCACAAGCUAAUGCAAGAGAUGGAGAGACUAAAGACAAAUCUAAAGCAUUCGGGCGCCAUGUUAGUGAACCAACUGUAGUUGGUUCCCCACUGUUCAAUAGUACUAAAUUAUUAUCAUCAAUAAUAUCAAGAAGAUUUCUGCCUCUGCAAUUUAUAUUAUUGCUACCCCAUGCUGUAUGAUUAGCAUUAAAAUCACCUCCAAGAAUAAAAGGCUUUGGAGUAUUUUUAAUUAACAAAUCUAACUUAUUUUUGUUAAAAUUUGCAGUAGGUGGGCUAUAAAAACUAAUAAAACUUAUUUCUUGGUUAUAAAGCUUAAUUGUUCUACAAAUAUUUUGAUGAGCAUUGUCACAAAAUGUGUCUAUUUUUGUAUAUGGUAUACUGUUACGUAUUAUUAGUGCAACACCAUUGUGGUUGCUACCUAUAUCUUUUCUUUCAAUUUUAUAACCGCGUAUAUUAAGUUUCUGUUCAGGUUUUAACCAUGUUUCAUUAAUAAUCGCAAUGUGUAUAUCAUUCUCAUAUAAAAACUGUGUAAAAAUAUGUCGAUUGCAAAGUAAGCUUUGGGCAUUCCAUUGGACUAUAUUGAUGUAGUCCAUUAUUUAUUUUUUUGAAUGGGAAGUUUUUUUACUGAAAGUUUCAAGGAGAAUGUUUUUGAUACUAUCUGAACUAAUUGGAUUUUUAUCUGUUUUAUUGGAUAUGAUUUUAACUAUUGAUUCUACAAUUAGAUUGAUAAAGUUGUCUGAUUUAAGUAAGUGCUGUAAAUGUUUAUUAGGGUCAUUUGUUAACUUUGGAAAUGAUUUUUCAUCAAAUAAAUCUACGUAUUGAAAAGCUCUCACUUUAGUUUUAUUUUCAUUUAUUUUCUGUUUUUUUAAUGGGCAUUCUCUAGAAACAGCUAUAUGGUUUCCAUCACAGUUGUAACAUUUUGCGUUUGCUAUAUCAACAGUGCAAUUUUUAAAGUUAUGGUUUUCCGUACAUAUGGAGCACUUCACAGAAUUUUUACAAAAUUUAGCUAUAUGCCCAUAUCGUAGGCACUGAAGGCAUUGCUUGACUGGUGGAAUGAAAGGACUCACCUCAUGUCUCCAGGAGUCUAGAUGAACGUAUUGUGGCAGUUGUGUGGCUGCAAAUGUCACAGCUACUGUUCCUGUUGGGUUAUAUUCAAAUUCUUGGUUAACCCUUACCCUUGUCGUAAGACGCCUUACUUGAAUAACGUUACUGGUACUGGCUAAGAGAGAAAAAAUGGUUUUGUUCGAUAGUCCAAGAGGAACUCCCCGUAGGACUCCAGUGAUUUCUGUUGCAGCAGCCGGGAUACUUGGUGUCAUGUUCACAUAUUUAUGGAAUUUUUCAUUACAUAAGAAUACAUUCGCGUUAUUUGCCAUGUUAAAAACAAUGCCGACUUUGUAUUUAUUAAUUGGUUUCAAGUAUUUAACUCCACUAACACAAUAUUGUCUAAUGGCUGAAGAAAUAGCUAAUUUAUCUUUCUCUCCAAUAGGUUUGUCAGCAAUAUUACUUGAAAGAAACACAAUAAAUUCCUCUCCGCGGCUAUUUUCAGAAUAUUUUCUUGAAUAAUUGUGAAUUUUAAAUGGUACAUAUUUAGACUUAUCCUCAUUUUCUAGAUCACUCGAUGAUCUGGAUUCGUCACUUAGCGACGUCUCUUUUUUUCGUUUUGCUUUGGCGCUCCUCAUGAUGAGGGCACCGAAAUGUAAUUUCAGACAACUUCAAUACUCAAAAUUAUAAAGAUUAGAUUUUUUUUUGAAAAAGCAGUUUCUAAAAACGCGCCUUCCUAAACCGUCG